rnacentral:rRNA from 1 species
ACGCUGGCGGCGUGCUUAACACAUGCAAGUCGAGCGGAAAGGCCCUUCGGGGUACUCGAGCGGCGAACGGGUGAGUAACACGUGAGUAAUCUGCCCUUGGCUUUGGGAUAACUACCGGAAGCGGUGGCUAAUACCGGAUACGACGCACUCAGGCAUCUGAUGUGUGUGGAAAGUUUUUUCGGCCAGGGAUGUGCUCGCGGCCUAUCAGCUUGUUGGUGGGGUAAUGGCCUACCAAGGCUUCGACGGGUAGCCGGCCUGAGAGGGUGACCGGCCACACUGGGACUGAGACACGGCCCAGACUCCUACGGGAGGCAGCAGUGGGGAAUAUUGGACAAUGGGCGGAAGCCUGAUCCAGCAACGCCGCGUGAGGGAUGACGGCCUUCGGGUUGUAAACCUCUUUCAGUACCGACGAAGCGCCGAUGAUGGUGGUGACGGUAGGUACAGAAGAAGCACCGGCCAACUACGUG